UUGCCCCCGAAGCGAUCCAAACGACGUCGCCUCGUACAUUCUUCUCUACCUUCCUGCGUUCAAAUUAGGCAGAGAGAGCAUACGAGAGGAAGAAGGAGCUCCACAGCAGAAGCACAGAACUGCGUCGGGGUUCCUGCAAUUUCUAAUCUUUAGGGUUUUUCACAACGUUCAAUUUCUCUCAGGCUUGGGCAAUUGGGGGUGAGGUUUCUUCGUGGUGAAGUUAGGGGAUUCUAGGGCAACCCAGAAAUGCAGACGGAGGCGAGAGUUGGGGUGGUGGUGGAAGGAGGGCAGAGAUCUCUGAAUACCGGCCAUGGAGGCGUGGCCGUUGAAGGUGGAGUGAGGACGCUCGCGCAGUCGCUGCCGCAGAAACAGCCGAAGCCGCUGCACCAGUCUCAGAUCGGUGCGGUGUCACAGUUUCUCGCCGGAGGUGUCGCCGGCUCUCUCAGUAAGACUUGCACGGCACCUCUCGCUCGCCUCACUAUUCUCUUUCAGGUGCAAGGUAUGCACUCGGAUGUUGUGACGAUGCGAAAAGCUAGCAUAUGGCGUGAGGCCUCCAGAAUUGCUAGUGAAGAAGGUUUUAGAGCUUUCUGGAAAGGAAAUUUGGUGACAAUUGCUCAUCGUCUUCCUUAUUCUUCGGUCAAUUUCUAUUCAUACGAGCAAUAUAAAAAGUUUUUACAAAAAGUUCCAGGACUGGAAAAUCAUAGGGACAACUUGAGUGCAGACCUUUGCGUGCAUUUUGUGGGUGGAGGAUUGGCGGGAAUAACAGCCGCAUCAGUUACAUAUCCUUUGGAUCUUGUAAGGACGCGCCUUGCAGCUCAGACAAAUGUGAUGUACUACAAAGGAAUUUGGCAUACGCUGCGAACUAUUACCCGGGAUGAGGGUAUUUUGGGUCUCUAUAAGGGACUCGGAGCAACCCUCUUGGGUGUUGGGCCCAAUAUAGCUAUCAGUUUUUCAGUGUAUGAGACCUUGAGAGCUUCUUGGCAAUCACAUAGGCCCGAGGAUUCUACUGUGUUGGUUAGUCUUGCUUGUGGGAGCCUUUCAGGAAUUGCAUCAUCAACAGAUGUUUUCUAUGCUUUGGAUGCAGAGAAAACAGGUUGUGGUGCAGGCUCUGCACCAAGUCUCUAACCAGACUGAUCUCUAGAGCCAGAAACCUGACUGGAAUGGUUUUUUUUAAUUUGGUAUCUGGAGAAUCUUACUAUCUUAGUAAGGAAGCUGACAAGAAAUCUUCUGUGCUCCAUCAUUCAUCUAACUUAAUUUUUUCUUAUGAUAAAGAUCUUGUUUUGAUUAACAUCAUCUUUCCCACGUUUCUUCGGUGACUUGUCUCCCAAAGGUUUGCAGUCGGUUCUAUUAUAGGGUGGAACUGCUCUCAGGUGAACCUAUAUCUUCAGUUAUCAAAUGUGAGAGGUGUCCUCUUUGAGCAACCUUUCCAUUGGAUCUUGUGAGGCGGCGGAAGCAGCUGGAAGGCGCUGGUGGCCGAGCCCGGGUCUACACAACAGGCCUUUUUGGCACAUUUAAGUACAUCUUCAAAACAGAAGGGUUGCGUGGCUUCUAUAGAGGAAUCCUACCAGAAUACUACAAGGUGGUACCCGGUGUUGGUAUCUGUUUCAUGACGUACGAGACGUUGAAGAUGCUUUUAGCAGACGUCAGUGCUGCUAUAUAGUUUGACUAGAUACUCAUCUUUCCGAAAGCGAUGCUGUAGGAGGGGCGUGAACGACGCUGUUAUAACAAAAUCUCAUGGUGGCUAGUUUUCCGAUGCUGCCGCGAGGAACAGAUUUUUCCAUGUAUAGAUUGACGAUCCUAUAUCUCUCACAUUUAGAAUUUGUAUGCGAAGCAACUCUCUUGCAGUUACCAGAAAUAUUCAAUCCUAUUUCAGAAAUCUUCAAUUUAUGGGACGUUUCCUGCAGCUGUAAUUCAUUCACCACCUAAUCACACUUCUAACGCGAGUUUCUCAGCGUAA